rnacentral:pre_miRNA from 1 species
CAGCUACUUCCUCCGUCCAGAAAUACUUGUCGGAGAAAUGGAUGUAUCUAGACAUAUUUUAGUUCGAGAUACAUCCAUUUUUAUCCAUUUCUUUGACAAGUAUUUUCGGACGGAGAGAAUACAUG